rnacentral:rRNA from 1 species
CUACGGGGCGCACCAGUGGGGAAUAUUGGGCAAUGGGCGCAAGCCUGACCCAGCAACGCCGCGUGAGGGAAGAAGGUUUUCGGAUUGUAAACCUCUGUCCUUGGGGACGAAGAAGUGACGGUACCCAAGGAGGAAGCUCCGGCUAACUACGUGCCAGCAGCCGCGGUAAUACGUAGGGAGCAAGCGUUGUCCGGAAUUACUGGGCGUAAAGGGUGCGUAGGCGGCAUAUUAAGUCAGGUGUGAAAUACUCGGGCUCAACCCGGGGGCUGCAUUUGAAGCUGAUAUGCUUGAGUGUGAGAGAGGAAAGUGGAAUUCCUAGUGUAGCGGUGGAAUGCGUAGAUAUUAGGAGGAACACCAGUGGCGAAGGCGACUUUCUGGCUCAUAACUGACGCUGAGGCACGAGAGCGUGGGGAGCAAACAGGAUUAGAUACCCCUGUAGUC